UUCUAGCCCUGAUUGUAGCGGCAUCCUUUUGUCUGCCUUACGCAACGGAGUGGAGAAAGAUAGACAAAAGAUAUAGCGGAAAGCAGGUUCCCGG
rnacentral:sRNA from 1 species